rnacentral:lncRNA from 1 species
GGUGAAAGCAAGCUUUAACCCUCAUGGUGACUCAUCUAGGUAAGAAACUCCGAGACUUAGGAGAAGGAAGACAUGGAGACUCAGGAUGGAGGAAGACAUGGGUCUUUUUGAGAAAUGGUGAGACCACAUUGUCCCAGCAAAGAAGCAGAGCUGAUGUCUGGAAAUACUACACCAGGCAAACACGCUCCAGGAGAGUGUGGAGACUUCAGUUCUCUGGAACUUGUCCAUAUUUGGCAUGGUCAUUCUUUGAACUUCAGACAUCUUACAAGGUGCCAUGGAAUCUUGUCAUUUUCAUUGAUGUCCUUCUGAUGAUUAAUGCUAUCAAGAAUUUUUGUGUCCCUAUUUGUCAC